rnacentral:rRNA from 1 species
GUCCAUGGCCAUACCACCCUGGACGCGCCCAAUCUUGGCUGAUCUCGGAAGCUAAGCAGGGUCGGGCCUGGUUAGUGCUUGGAUGGGAAUGGUGUUGAUGUGAAUACUGGCGGCUCACC